CAGCUGAUUCAGCUGAUACUAAUGGAAACGGUCGACAGACCCUGUUGACAGACACAAAUGGAGCAGAGACAGAAAAACUGGUUUCCUUCAGCGAUCUUUAUACUGAUCUCACAGGUGGUGCAGAGUCAGUAACCAGGAUUAACGUCAAUCUCACAGCUUCAGGUCUUGGAUUCGGGCAUGAUGUCACAGAGUCUCCAUCCAUUAUGAUCCAAACUGCGUCUGUCGAUGUCACACAGACACAUAACCCAGUUUCAGGCAUUCACCCUCACACAGAUCUGGUUACCAUGACAGCAGACUUCUCUGGGACAGAUACAGUUGCAACAGAUCAUACAGGAAGGCUUCUCGACUCUAGUCCUCCAGCUGUGACAGAUCACACACAGAUGGCUGGUUCAGUUACUGAACAGUACAACCCAUCUGGUCAGGGUCCUGAAGGUACAGAAAAUGUGGAACUGGAGGAUACCUGCUGACUUCCACAUCAAACCGCGAGUUCGCUUCCUGCGUUACCGUUUCCAGUGUACCGACCAAUCAGCACGGCCAAUGAAAUCUGACCCCUCCCACUAGCUGUAGGCCCCUCCAGUGAAUGGCAGCAGGUGUUUUUUUGUUUGUUUGUUUUUUUAAUAUUUAAAAAUGUCGGUUUAUAGACAUUUAUUUUGUCUUAGAGAAUCAUGGAGGGAAAGUAAAGAAAAUUAGUCUCAACAGUGUGCUGAUUCAGAUUUGAUCUGAUGACAAAAAGGAAGUGACAUGUUCAUUGUAAAACAUGGUUUAAAAAUUCUGUAAUAAAUGUGUUUGUUGAACAUCAAAACUGAGAAUUUGUCUUUUGCCCAAACUGGUGACUAAACUGUCGUCCUGGAUUUUGUGAGCUCUGAAUAAAUCUUAUUAUUCAUCACUGAUUGAAGAAAAUAAGAACAACCCCAGGUUUCUUAGACUCCAUUUCUUCUGCUAUCUGGACCACCACGCCACAUGAUGUCCAUCUAGUUGACACAGCCCAGGUCCACAUCACCCUGAACCCUGGUGAAGGUCUGGUCUGGUGACCCCAGUAUGACACUAUAAACAGAUUACUGGAGGCCAGCAUGAUCAUCCCAUAUCAGUCAUCAUGGAAUAUGCCAAUACUUCCCGUCUUUAUGGGCCCAGGUAAGGGUAGAUGAAUGGUACAGGAUUUUAGACCCGUGAAC
ensembl:lncRNA